AUUGAACGCUGGCGGCAGGCCUAACACAUGCAAGUCGAGCGGAGCGGCGGACGGGCGAGUAAUGCCUACGCAUUUGCCUGGUAGUGGGGGAUAACGUCCGGAAACGGGCGCUAAUACCGCAUACUAUCAGAUGAGCCUAGGUCGGAUUAGCGAGUUGGUGUGGUAAAGGCCUACCAGGGCGACGAUCCGUAACUGGUCUGAGAGGAUGAUCAGUCACACGGGAAUGGAGACACGGUCCAAAAUCCUACGGGAGGCAGCAGUGGGGAAUAUUGGACAAUGGGCGAAAGCCUGAUCCAGCCAUGCCGCGUGUGUGAAGAAGUUCUUCGGAUUGUAAAGCACUUUAAGUUGGGAGGCGUUACCAACAGAAUAAGCACCGGCUAACUUCGUGCCAGCCGCCGCGGUAAUUC
rnacentral:rRNA from 1 species